rnacentral:rRNA from 1 species
UGGGGAAUAUUGCGCAAUGGGCGAAAGCCUGACGCAGCGACGCCGCGUGAGGGAUGAAGGUUUUCGGAUCGUAAACCUUUGUCAGAAGGGAAGAAACUACAUUGUGCUAAUCAGCAGUGUACUGACGGUACCUUCAAAGAAAGCACCGGCUAACUCCGCGCCAGCAGCCGCGGUAAUACGGAGGGUGCAAGCGUUAAUCGGAAUUACUGGGCGUAAAGCGCACGUAGGCUGUAGUGUAAGUCACGGGUGAAAUCCCACGGCUCAAC